rnacentral:rRNA from 1 species
UACGGAGGGGGCGAGCGUUAUUCGGAAUUAUUGGGCGUAAAGGGCGCGUAGGCGGCCCGGUAAGUCAAAGGUGAAAUCCCUCGGCUCAACUGAGGAACUGCCUUUGAAACUGCUGGGCUUGAGUCCGGGAGGGGGUAGCGGAAUUCCCAGUGUAGCGGUGAAAUGCGUAGAUAUUGGGAGGAACACCGGUGGCGAAGGCGGCUACCUGGACCGGCACUGACGCUGAGGCGCGAAAGCGUGGGGAGCAAACAGG